AUACGGGAGGCAGCAGUGGGGAAUUUUGGACAAUGGGGGCAACCCUGAUCCAGCAAUGCCGCGUGUGUGAAGAAGGCCUUCGGGUUGUAAAGCACUUUUGUCAGGAACGAAACGGUUGAGGUUAAUACCCUUGGCUAAUGACGGUACCUGAAGAAUAAGCACCGGCUAACUACGUGCCAGCAGCCGCGGUAAUACGUAGGGUGCAAGCGUUAAUCGGAAUUACUGGGCGUAAAGCGUGCGCAGGCGGUUAUGUAAGACAGAUGUGAAAUGCCCGGGCUUAACCUGGGGACUGCAUUUGUGACUGCAUGGCUAGAAUCUGGCAGAGGGGGGUAGAAUUCCACGUGUAGCAGUGAAAUGCGUAGAGAUGUGGAGGAACACCGAUGGCGAAGGCAGCCCCCUGGGCUAAGAUUGACGCUCAUGCACGAAAGCGUGGGGAGCAAACAGGAUUAGAUACCCCGGU
rnacentral:rRNA from 1 species